rnacentral:sRNA from 1 species
GCGGCCGCGGCUCCCGAGCCCCUGGGCCUCGCGCUCUGAGAGCCUGAGCCGCGUGAGGAGGCCAAGCGCCCACGAGCCGCAUCCCCUGCCUUGCUAGUUAGUUCUCCAACACGCGAAAAAGGUAGAUGAGGACUGGUUUUCUUUGCAGCUAAAAUUAAUCAAGCCUCGGAGAUUAGUUGUCACUGUGUUGCCCAGGCUGGUCUUAAACUCCUAGGCUCUAAGGAGCCUUCUACCUUAGCCUCCCAAGUAGCUGAGACUAUAGGCGAGCACUUCCACAAUCUGCACUUUUUAUUUCCUUUAUUUUAAUUUUUUUUUAUUUUUUUAGUUUUUUUAGAGACGGGGUCUUGCUCUGUCACCCAGGCUGGAGCUCACUGUAGCCUCAAACUCCUGGGCUCACUCAACCCUCCUGCCUCAGCCUCCCAAAGUAUUAAGAUCACAGGCAUAAGCUACCACGCCCAGCCUGUACCUUUUAUUUCUUUUUAUUGCCUAAUUAUAGCCCUAUCCAUUUUGGUGUCAUUUUAAAGUCUAAAUAUAUGUGUUUUUUCCUCAAUAUAUCACAAAUUACAUACUUAUAAUCCAACUGGGAAGGUUGGGAGUAAAAAAAAAAAAAAGAAAAAGAAAAAGUCACCGGGCACGGUGGCUCAUGCCUGUAAUCUUAGCGCUUUGGGAGGCCAAGGUGGGCGGAUCACCUGAGGUCAGAAGUUCAAGACCAGCCUGGUCAACAUGGUGAAACCCGGGAGACGGUGGUUGCCGUGAGCCUAGAUCACGCCACUGCUGAGCGAGACUCCAUCUCAAAAAAAAAAGAAAACUUCUCAGGACUUUUUCGUAGUAAGGCUGUCAUAAUACUGCCUGAUGUAUUUUAUGUAAUGAAUUGCAGACUGCAGAAAGUGGGGACUUAGCUGAGAAAAUUAAUCGUGCACUCAUUCAGCAAAGGUUUCAGUGCCUGCUAUGCGGAGACACGGUUCCAAGCACUGCCGCAAUAGCAGGGAGGAAACAGAACGGAUCUCAAACGCUGUCCCAGCAAGGACUCCAGUCUCUGCCUAGUGGAUGCGUAACUGGCGCGUGAUGUGCCAGAAACUGUGUGUGGUUGUAUCCGGUGCUUGACACAAUACUCUCUCCAGCUGCUCCUUGGAUGUGGGAAGCAGCCGAAGAUUUACGGGCCAUGGAGGCUCCUUCUAUCCCUGGAAAUCAGCCCUUGGGAAUCAGCUGAGUUACGUGGUUGAAGCCAUCAUGACAGCCAUCCCCUGGCUGGGCCAGUUCUGGGAAUAACUACAAUGCUUAUACUGCAGGAUGGCCAAUUCAGAACUUCUUACUAGUGCUGAAUUCAGUAAAGGUUUAAUAACACAUUU